GACGUAGGGCGCGAGCGUUGUCCGGAUUUAUUGGGCGUAAAGAGCUCGUAGGCGGCUCGUUGCGUCAACCGUGAAAACCCGGGGCUUAACUUCGGGCUUGCGGUUGAUACGGGCGGGCUGGAGUUCGGUAGGGGAGACUGGAAUUCCUGGUGUAGCGGUGAAAUGCGCAGAUAUCAGGAGGAACACCGGUGGCGAAGGCGGUUCUCUGGGCCUGUACUGACGCUGAGGAGCGAAAGCGUGGGGAGCGAACAGG
rnacentral:rRNA from 1 species